AAAAUAGAAAAAUUGAGGAUAAAAUAGGAAAUAUGAGAAUAAAGUAGGAAAUAUUGAGGAUAAAAUGGGAAAUAUGGAAGAUAAAAUAGGAAAAAUUGAGGAUAAAAUGCAAGCCCAAUUAGAAGAUCUAAAAAGUUUCUUACAGGAUCAAUUGACAAACAACCACUCUACCAGAAAUAGACCUGUUUCUGAACCUUUGAAUGAGGAAAUUUCCUUCCCUGAAAUAGAGAUGGAAAAUACCUUUCCUAUAGCCAAGUUAACAGACUGCUUCUCUCGUGUAGUGCAAAUCUUGUCUGAAUUUAAUCCCCAAAACCCUUCCCCGGCAAUCCCAGAUUCUCAUGUUCCUUCUCCUACAGAAAACCAAAUUCCAAUGCAAGAGAGAUCUUGUCCCCCUAGAAAAACCUGUCCUUGUCAAACUGACCCACAGGUGCAAAAUCCAACUAGAGGCCUGUUUCCUCUAAGAGAAGUACCUGAAAUAGGACGAAAUGGGGAUGUGGUGACUUUAAGACAUAGGAUACCGUUUACUCCCCAAGAAAUAAAUGAAUUUACACGAAAUAUUCCCACAUAUGAACAAGAUCCUUUUCUAGUAACAAAAAAGAUGGGAGACAUAUUUUUUCAGUAUAAUCCGUCUUACAAGGACGUUGAGAGCUUACUCCAGGCUUUUUUAAGUGAACGUGAAAAAAAUAAAAUAAUUGCUCAUGUCAACAAAACCAGGGGGCGUAAUGCAGCACAUUGGCCAUCUCAGGAUCCCGAAUGGGACUAUAACAAUCCUGAGGAUUAUCUACAACUAUACCGUUGUAGAGAGGCCAUCCUCACGUCCAUGAAGGAAUGUGCGGACAGUACAGAUAAGUGGAUGGAACUGGAAAAAAUUAAGCAAAAGGAAAAUGAAACACCCUCCAGAUUUAUGGACAGAAUUAUCGAGUUUGGGGACAGAUACUUAGAUUGGGACUUAACUAAAGAGAGUAGUAUAAGACAAGCUAGAAGAAUCUUUGUAAACAAUUCUUGCAAAGCAAUUAAAAAUUAUUUCAAAACACAAUGCCCAAGAUGGUCAGAUAUGGACCUUGAAGAAUUGCGAAAAACAGCUAUAUAUGUUUUAAAGGGAAACGAAGAAAAGGAGAAAGAAAAUGAUGAUGACAUGGAGGAAAUGAAGAAAAAAAUGAGAUAUUUAAUAGAUAGGAUAACUAAAUUAGAAAGUGGGCAGGGUAAUGAACCAACGACAAUUGCCCCUCUCCAGAAAUCCAAUUAUCAAUCCAUUACUUGCCACUUCUGUGAGAAGAAGGGCCACAAAAUGAUGGAAUGUAGAACCUUUCUUAAGAUGUUUGGAAGGAAUACACAGUUUAAUAAUAGUUUUAGAAAUAAUAACUAUAAUGAAUAUAGAAAUAAGAACUUUAGAAACCAG
rnacentral:lncRNA from 1 species